rnacentral:rRNA from 1 species
UGCCAGCCGCCGCGGUAAUACAGAGGGUGCGAGCGUUAAUCGGAAUUACUGGGCGUAAAGCGUGCGUAGGUGGUUAGAUAAGUCAGAUGUGAAAGCCCCGGGCUCAACCUGGGAAUUGCAUUUGAUACUGUCUGACUAGAGUGUGGGAGAGGGAAGUGGAAUUUCCGGUGUAGCGGUGAAAUGCGUAGAUAUCGGAAGGAACACCAGUGGCGAAGGCGACUUCCUGGACCAUUUCUGACACUGAGGCACGAAAGCGUGGGGAGCGAACAGGAUUAGAUA